CUGACACACAGAGUUGCAACGUGAGUUUUCGGUCAGGGCACUUGCUCUCCCCGUGGCUGACGGAACAACAUGGAGUCCAAGCGGGUUACUGAAAAAACUGGGGCGGGCGGAUUCAGGAGCCGGACUCCUGAACUAAAGUCAACUUGGGAAAUAACAGCAUGAUUCAGACGUGCAUCAAUGACAUGCCUUCAUUGCAAUGUCUUCUUGCUUGUCUAAAUGGUCAGCAAUCAUCAGUGCUGCCUCCUUGUCAGCGUGGGAGGCUUCAUGCACUUUUAGAAGUCAUUCCAUUCAUUCUUAACUUGAUCGCCUCCUGUCAGACUGCAUGUUGAAGAUUUCCAAAGACUUGGGAUGUAAAGCAUUUUGAGAUCUUAGAUGUAAUGAAAUAACCAUGAAGGGUGAUAUUUCUUAUGAAAUAAUAAUAACAGUAAUAGUUUGUUUAAUAGGGGGCCGUGCAACUUAAAAAAACAUAAUUAGACUUAGUUUAAAAGCUAGAAUAAGCCAAAAGUUAAAGUUCAUAUAUAGGCCCCUGGCCACUAUGUGAAAAACACUCAUAUAUACAAUAUAGUACAAAAUACAUAAACAGUAUACAAAUAGAGAAUAUUUGACAUCACAACAUAUUUAAAAGUUCAAUCACAUUAACAAAACAGAUUUAUCCUUUAGUGUUGACAGCUGUAGGUGUUGACAAGCCACAAUUUCUUAUUUAUUUUGUUCACAGUUUAACCCUGGAGAACUCAAGAUAAAUUUUCUUUUGAGCUUUCAAAAUUAAUUUAACAAUUUGUAUUUGGCUUGUUCAUUUUAUGCAGUACCAAUUACAGCGGCCAGGAAAAAUUAAUACAACUAAAAAUGUAAAAAAAUGAAAAAUAAAAUGAAAAA